AGGAAGACCUGUCCGGUAUUACAGUCAUGAGUUACAAUUAUAGAAAUAAACCACAAAAUACUGAAGCCUGGAUGAAAAAUGCUUCCUGAGAACAGAUCUAACACUAUCAAAGACCACACUCUGACUUACAGCCCAAAAGGAUGGCACACAAAGGUUUGUUCCAGAGCAAAUUGUCUGUCCCUUUUAUGUCACAAAGGACCUGGUUUCAUCCCAGAGUCACUGAUUAGAUCUGUGCUGUUGCAGUCCAAACACAAAGGCACUCUUACAGAGGAUGACUUGAUUUAGCUACUACUGGAGUCCUGAAAUAGUGGGAUAAUACCUUGUGAACUAUGACGUCCACAUGGGAGCUGUGAUGGUGGCCACAGAGAACUAAAGAAAAGCUUACUUGGUAGAGGGAAGCAGGGGAUGGAAAGUGAGACAUCCUUCUCAGGAUCUGGAAACAGGAUGCUUCCAGAGCUAUAGCACUGACCUGAUGGAUGGGCAAGGGUUGUUGGGAUGUUUUUAAUGAGCUGUAAUGGCGUUCUUCAGGGACUUUGAGAGAUCAAAAUGCUGAGAACCGUUUGUCUCAAAGUGUGACAAGAGAAAAGAAUGAUAAAGCAUACAGAGACAGGUAA